rnacentral:rRNA from 1 species
UACGUAGGGUGCAAGCGUUGUCCGGAAUUAUUGGGCGUAAAGAGCUCGUAGGCGGUCUGUCGCGUCUGCUGUGAAAACUCGGGGCUUAACCCCGGGCCUGCAGUGGGUACGGGCAGACUAGAGUGCAGUAGGGGAGACUGGAAUUCCUGGUGUAGCGGUGAAAUGCGCAGAUAUCAGGAAGAACACCCGUGGCUAAGGCGGCUCUCUAGUACGGUACUGACGCUGAGACGCGAAAGCGUGGGGAGCGAACAGG